rnacentral:rRNA from 1 species
AGAGUUUGAUCAUGGCUCAGAUUGAACGCUGGCGGCAGGCCUAACACAUGCAAGUCGAGCGGUAGCACAGAGAGCUUGCUCUCGGGUGACGAGCGGCGGACGGGUGAGUAAUGUCUGGGAAACUGCCUGAUGGAGGGGGAUAACUACUGGAAACGGUAGCUAAUACCGCAUAAUGUCGCAAGACCAAAGUGGGGGACCUUCGGGCCUCAUGCCAUCAGAUGUGCCCAGAUGGGAUUAGCUAGUAGGUGGGGUAACGGCUCACCUAGGCGACGAUCCCUAGCUGGUCUGAGAGGAUGACCAGCCACACUGGAACUGAGACACGGUCCAGACUCCUACGGGAGGCAGCAGUGGGGAAUAUUGCACAAUGGGCGCAAGCCUGAUGCAGCCAUGCCGCGUGUGUGAAGAAGGCCUUCGGGUUGUAAAGCACUUUCAGCGGGGAGGAAGGCGUUAAGGUUAAUAACCUUGGCGAUUGACGUUACCCGCAGAAGAAGCACCGGCUAACUCCGUGCCAGCAGCCGCGGUAAUACGGAGGGUGCAAGCGUUAAUCGGAAUUACUGGGCGUAAAGCGCACGCAGGCGGUCUGUCAAGUCGGAUGUGAAAUCCCCGGGCUCAACCUGGGAACUGCAUUCGAAACUGGCAGGCUAGAGUCUUGUAGAGGGGGGUAGAAUUCCAGGUGUAGCGGUGAAAUGCGUAGAGAUCUGGAGGAAUACCGGUGGCGAAGGCGGCCCCCUGGACAAAGACUGACGCUCAGGUGCGAAAGCGUGGGGAGCAAACAGGAUUAGAUACCCUGGUAGUCCACGCCGUAAACGAUGUCGAUUUGGAGGUUGUGCCCUUGAGGCGUGGCUUCCGGAGCUAACGCGUUAAAUCGACCGCCUGGGGAGUACGGCCGCAAGGUUAAAACUCAAAUGAAUUGACGGGGGCCCGCACAAGCGGUGGAGCAUGUGGUUUAAUUCGAUGCAACGCGAAGAACCUUACCUGGUCUUGACAUCCACAGAACUUAGCAGAGAUGCUUUGGUGCCUUCGGGAACUGUGAGACAGGUGCUGCAUGGCUGUCGUCAGCUCGUGUUGUGAAAUGUUGGGUUAAGUCCCGCAACGAGCGCAACCCUUAUCCUUUGUUGCCAGCGGUCCGGCCGGGAACUCAAAGGAGACUGCCAGUGAUAAACUGGAGGAAGGUGGGGAUGACGUCAAGU